rnacentral:rRNA from 1 species
GACGAACCGUACGAACGUUAUUCGGAAUCACUGGGCUUAAAGGGUGCGUAGGCGGCGCAGAAAGUUGGGUGUGAAAUCCCUCGGCUCAACCGAGGAACUGCGCCCAAAACUACUGUGCUUGAGGGAGAUAGAGGUGAGCGGAACUUAGGGUGGAGCGGUGAAAUGCGUUGAUAUCCUAAGGAACACCGGUGGCGAAAGCGGCUCACUGGAUCUCUUCUGACGCUGAGGCACGAAAGCUAGGGUAGCGAACGGG